GACGAACGCUGGCGGCGUGCUUAACACAUGCAAGUCGAACGGAAAGGCCCUGCUUUUGUGGGGUGCUCGAGUGGCGAACGGGUGAGUAACACGUGAGUAACCUGCCCUUGACUUUGGGAUAACUUCAGGAAACUGGGGCUAAUACCGGAUAGGAGCUCCUGCUGCAUGGUGGGGGUUGGAAAGUUUCGGCGGUUGGGGAUGGACUCGCGGCUUAUCAGCUUGUUGGUGGGGUAGUGGCUUACCAAGGCUUUGACGGGUAGCCGGCCUGAGAGGGUGACCGGCCACAUUGGGACUGAGAUACGGCCCAGACGCCUACGGGAGGCAGCAGUGGGGAAUAUUGCACAAUGGGCGGAAGCCUGAUGCAGCAACGCCGCGUGCGGGAUGACGGCCUUCGGGGUGUAAACCGCUUUCGCCUGUGACGAAGCGUGAGUGACGGUAAUGUGUAAAGAAGCACCGGCUAACUACGUG
rnacentral:rRNA from 1 species